CACAAGCAGCUCAGCCAGCAGGCUGAUGGGGAGAGAACUUCUGGCAAGCAGAGGCACUACAAGCAGCUGCCUGGUUACUUCAGAUGUGCUACUUUCCAUGCUACAAAGCUCGGAAGGAACUACUGUUUCUCAGGGUGUUGCUCCUACCAACUUCAGACUGCAUGGGAUCAUAGACAUGCUGAGGAUUCAGCCUUCCCACUACCUCCAAUGCAAUGCAUUUUAACCUGAGUAGAGGACAAUGAUAAUUUUUUAAGAAAACUUGAAUUUUGGUGAGAUUUUUUGUGGCAGAUGAGAUUUUAAAAAGGGUUCUGUAAAGCAGCUGGGAACUCAUACGAGCAUAAAUAAAUCCAAGGAAAUUAUGUGCUGGACAAGAUGUAGUUAAACACUGAAAAUAAUAUAUCUCAACCUGUGGCUUUAAACAAUGACUUUUAAACCAAGACAUAGCAAAAUGACAACAUACC